CCAAGGCAACGAUAGGUAGGGGGCCUGAGAGGGUGAUCCCCCACACUGGUACUGAGACACGGACCAGACUCCUACGGGAGGCAGCAGUGAGGAAUAUUGGUCAAUGGACGAAAGUCUGAACCAGCCAUGCCGCGUGCAGGAAGACUGCCCUACGGGUUGUAAACUGCUUUUAUAUAGGAAUAAACCCUCGUUCGUGAACGAGGCUGAAGGUACUAUAAGAAUAAGGACCGGCUAACUCCGUGCCAGCAGCCGCGGUAAUA
rnacentral:rRNA from 1 species